AUGCUCCGUGACGUCGCCAGCCGCCUGCAGGACGCCGCCGACUUCGUCCGCCUCCAUGCUGUCUGCAGGUCGUGGCGCGUCGCGACGUGCCGCCGCCGUUCCGGACUACUACGACGACCCAUCAGUUCCUCCCGUGGCUCCUCACUGCGGCCGACAAAGACCACCAGACCCCUCUCAAGCUUAGGUGCAUCUUCUCCAAGUCCACCUACCGCAUCACGUCACCGCCUCCCUGCGCUGCUAGAGGAAACUGGGUGUGCCGCGCCGACGCCACCGCCGUCCAGUACCUCACCGUCGACCGCUUCCUGA
rnacentral:rRNA from 1 species